CUUCUCCAUCCUCAUACUCCAAGUAAUUUUGCUCAUAAAUACUAAAUGAAAUAGUGUUAUUUGUAUUGAAAAAAUCACCUACUAUUAGUAUGAAGUGUGAAUCAUUUAUUAUAGGUGCAUUAAAUGCUCAUCAAUAAGCAAAUGGAUAGCUGUGAAUCUACUUAUGAACAACUUGUUCUUGAGGUAGCUGAGAUAAUAGAUAGCAUUCCAUAUGAUAAUGACACUACAAAUUGCAUUAAUAA
rnacentral:lncRNA from 1 species